rnacentral:rRNA from 2 species
CUAACCUGUACUAAUUGCCCGUGAGGCUUAACCAUACAACACCCAAGGGGUUU